rnacentral:rRNA from 1 species
AAUAAACGCUGGCGGCGUGCCUAACACAUGCAAGUCGGACGAGAAAGGCUGAUUUUCGGAUUAGCCGAGUAAAGUGGCGCACGGGUGAGUAACGCGUAGGUAACCUACCCUUGUAUUUGGGAUAACAGGACGAAAGUUUUGCUAAUACCGGAUACGACCUGAGGGCGGAGGUUUUCAGGUGAAAGUCGGCCUCUUCGAGAAAGCUGACGUACAGGGAUGGGUCUGCGUCCUAUCAGCUAGUUGGUGGGGUAACGGCCUACCAAGGCGACGACGGGUAGCUGGUCUGAGAGGAUGAUCAGCCACACUGGCACUGGAACACGGGCCAGACUCCUACGGGAGGCAGCAGUGAGGAAUUUUGCGCAAUGGCCGCAAGGCUGACGCAGCAACGCCGCGUGAGCGAAGAAGGCCUUCGGGUUGUAAAGCUCUGUCUGGAGGGACGGAACGAAAAUAGACGGUACCUCCGGACGGAAGGCCACGGCUAACUACGUGCCAGCAGCCGCGGUAAACGUAGACGUG